rnacentral:rRNA from 1 species
AGUGAAGGUUGGCGGUAGCCUUAAAAAUUGAAAGUCGACCGGCAGCUAAUUAAGACUUGCCUUUACCGGUUGCUGUGGGCUGGAUGGGUGAGAAUAAAACCGGAUCUUCUUUUUUGUUGGGGGAAACGGAAGGGAACUUUCCGCAAAACCCCAAACGUCCUAUUGGUUGAAACAAGUGAUCUUCUGUACUUUGCGGUUUGUAUUGAGCGAUGGGGGAUUUGGUAGUUGGCGGGGUAAAGGCCCACCAAGGCGACGAUCCGUAGCUGAUCUGAGAGGAUGAUCAGCCACACUGGAACUGAGACACGGUCCAGACUCCUACGGGAGGCAGCAGUGGGGAAUAUUGGACAAUGGGCGCAAGCCUGAUCCAGCCAUACCGCGUGGGUGAAGAAGGCCUUCGGGUUGUAAAGCCCUUUUGUUGGGAAAGAAAAGCAGCAGGUUAAUACCCCGCUGUUCUGACGGUACCCAAAGAAUAAGCACCGGCUAACUUCGUG